CUUGUUUGUCUUUUUUGAUCUUCAUUAGUUUAAAGUCUGUCUUAUCAGAGACUAGGAUUGCAACCCCUGCUUUUUUUUUGCUUUGCAUUUUCUUGAUAAAUAACCAAAGGGUGAGUGGUUGAUAGAGUGAGCCAGGCCUCGAGCGGUACUGUUGGGAGGUUGUGGGGAACACACAGACACGGGCACCCGUGAGAGCUAGAAGCACGCCACACCAGGGCGGGUCACGGUUCCCGCCCUGCAGAAGCCGUGAGGCCGGCAUGUGUUGGUCUGUGCUGCCCAGCCUGUGGUGAGCCGUCUGCCCGGCCUGUGGUGAGUCGUCUGCCCGGCCUGUGGUGAGCUGUCACUCAACUAAUCAAGUCCAGGCAGCAGAACGUGAACAGAGCCUCAUGGGCACAGCUCUUGGCAAUUACUGGCGCAUCUCAUUUUAUUGCACUUCAUUGUGCGUUUUAUAAAUGACAGGCGUGUGGCAGCCCCACUAGAGCAACCCUGUCAGUGCCACUCUUCCAGCAGCAUGCCCACUCCACGUCUCCUCGUCUCCUUGUGGUAAUUCUCGCAAUACCUCAAACUGUUAUUGUAUGUGUUAUAGUGACCUGUAGUGUCACGACUAUCUCGGGGCGCCCAUAAGAAACGGUGAACUUGAUUGAUAAAUGUGAAUGUUCUGACGGCUCUGCUGGUUGGCUGUCCCUCCCCGCUCCCCAGCCCCCACCCCACCACUCUUCAGGCCUCCCUAUUCCCUGAGCCACAACAUUGAAAUUAGGUCAACUAAUAACCCCACAGUGGCCUCUAAGUGUUCAAGUGAAAGGAAGAGUUGCAAGUCUCUCACAUUAAAUCAAAAGCUAGAAAUGUUUAAGCUUAGUGAGGAAGGCACGUUGAAAGCCAAGACUGGCAGGAGAGGCCCAGCUUUCAGCCUAACAGUUAGCCAAGUUGUGAAUGCAAAGGAAAAGUUAUUUAAGGAAAUUAAAAGUGGUCCUCCAGUGAACACACAAAUGAUAGUGAAACAGCCUUUUGCAGAUAGGGAGAAAGUGUUAGUGGUCUGACAGAUCAAACCAACCACAACAUUCCCUUAAGCCAAAGCCUAAAACAGAGCGAGGUCCUGACUCUUUUCAAUUCUGUGAAGGCUGAGUGAUGUGAGGAAGCUGUGAACAGAAGUUUGGAGCUAGCAGAGGUUGGUCCACAAGGUUUAAGGAAAGAAGCCGUCUCCGUAAUCGGAGUGUGAGGUGAGGCAGCAGCUCUCCAGAAGAUCCUGCUAAGGUCACGAUGGAGGUGGCCGCACUCAACCACAGACCUUCAGUGUAGAGGAAGCAACCUUGAACUGGAGAAGACACCAUGCAGGACUUUCAUGGGUAGGGAGAAGUCAAUGCCUGGCUUCAGAGCUUCAGAAGACAGUCUGACUCUUAUUAGAGGCUAAUGCUGCUGUGACUUUAAAACCCAUUUAUGCCUAGUGUUCCAUUAUUGGAACGCUAAGCAUGUGGGAGUUUACAUUCUGCUUAAGGUCACUGCCAAGGUCUGCAAAAAUUUAAAAAUUGCAACCUCAGCCAUAAAUGGGUUAAGGUGAAGGCAGUGCUCACCAUUCUGAGAAUCCUAGGAUUCUUAAGAAUGAGGCUCUGCUCUGCCCGUGGCUCUAGAAAUGGAACGGCAAGGCCCAGGUGGUAGCACAUCUGUGCACAGCAUGGUUCAUGGAAUACUGUAAACCCACUGUUAGGCCCUCAGAAAAGGAGAUUCCUUUCAAAAUACGACAGCUCGACGGUGCGCCUGGUCACCCAAGAGCUCUGAGGCCAGUGUACAAGGGGUUUGUGUUUUCGCGCUGACACAGCGUCCGUUCUGCAGCCCGUGGGCCCAGGCGUCAUCCCAACUCUCACGUCUUACUGAAGAAAGACAUUUUCUAAGGCUGUAGCCCACAGGUAGUGAUUGCUCUGAUGGAUCUGAGCAAAGUAAAUGAAAAACUUUGAAUAACCAUGGUCCAACUUACCAGGGACAUUGAGAUGAGUGGGAGGCUCUGAGAAGCAGUUAUAAAAUGCAAAUUCUACAAGUAUCUGGUUUAGCGUUUCAGAAACAGCCUUUUCAGGAUCUACUUCUCAGGGACCCCCUCCAACCCCAUCAGUGCCGCUCCUCCAGCAGCACGCCCACUGCACGUCUCCUUGUGGUAAUUCUCGCAAUACGUCAAACUGUUAGUGUAUGUGUUGUGGUGACCUGUGGUGUCACUACCACCUUGGGACGCUCACAUGAACCCCAAGGCACUUGGUGAAAACCCUUCCCAGGGAGUGGGCUUAGCGUGGGAAAGGAGGUUCCUCCUUGUCCUGCACACGCCAUGUCCUUGGAGGGCCCAGAGCCCCCGCGGUCACCUGUCUUGUGUGUUCUUCCAGGGGCAGCUGGCAGUGUGGCCUCACAGCACAUGCUUGUUCCAUGUCUUGCUCUUUUCGCAUAAUGUAGAUUGGAGGUCAUUCCAUGUGAAGCCGCUGGAGCCCCUGGGCUCUACUGCUGCUGUGACCUUUCUACUCAGGGGUAUUUCCAGCUUAUUUGAGCCGUAUUAGCAAAGUGACGGGAAACCAGCCCCACGUACCCAUCCCUGGAGCCAGCGUGUCCACCUUUUGUGUCCUCCACGCCUCCAGAUCCCCACGCUGGUGUUGUGACACUCAUUCCAGCCUCAUUUCAUCCAUUAUUGCUUCCCUGAUGUAUCUCAAAGAGAUAAAAACGUUUAAAAGACCAUAAAACCACCAUUCCACCACAGAAUUCCAAAUAUCCAAUCAAUGUUCAGAUCUUCCUAAUUGCCUUAUAAAUUGCUUCAUGUUUUAAGUUUGCUUGCUGGAAUCUGGCAGUGUCCGUGUCACCUUUACAACAUGACUUUUCUGUCUCCCCGACGCCAACGCUCUUUUCUUAGUUCAGCUAAAGAAGGGGCUUGUGCAUCCUGCACUCUGCUGACCGGGGCCCUGUGGUUUUGCGUGUUCUGCUCCGUCCUAUUGAGAGGUGGUCAGACCGAGGCCACAUCAGGCUCCCCUGCGAUUCCGUUUGGUAGGAGCACCUCGGGGGUCUCAGGGCACCUCUGUGGCGCUGUUGUUGUGCCUUCCUCCACUGUUAGCUGAAAUAGUAAAGGGAAAUCCAAGGUUCACGUUCCUCACUAAAACAUCCGCUCUUCGAUUAUACGGAUGUUUCAUGCAUUUGUGAUACGGUUACUCACUGAUGUACAUUUUGGCCAUUUUAAAUCAUUCACUGUUUAAAAUGCUGCUGUAGUAAGUAUUUGUAUCUAUACAUAAUUUCACUCAAGUGGCUCUAUGUGGAAUAAAUUCUAAAAAUUUCUGGGUCAAAGAGCACACAGAAUGCCCCAAUCUUGCUGUUCACCACCUGCAGCGGCUGUGCCAACCCACCCCCACCAGCGAUGGAGCACCUGCCUCGUGCCCUUACAGGGAGGGAAAGCAUCUUCUCACAUAUUUAUGAACUGCUUUAUUUCCCUUUUAGUAAAGUAUUCUUUUCAUUAGCCCAUUUUUCUAUUGGUCAGUAUUUUCAUAAGGAAAACUCUCUGACGUGCUGCGAAUUUUUCUGCCAUUUGACAUUUGAUUCAUUCUGAGACAAUCACUCCUGGUUGUGAAAUUCAAAAAACAACAUUGUCCAAUUUUGCUUCUGGGAUUUCUACUUUUUAAUUACAUCUUUGAUACAACUGGAAUUUCUUUUGGUAAAGAGAUUAUAGAUGCAAAUUUUUCUUCCCAUUUGGAUACCUGAUUGUCCCAACAUCGUUUAUAUCCUGCUUUUUUUUCCAGGAAUGCAAUGCCAUCUUUCUAUGUUGGUUGUGAACAUGCAUUUGGCACCGGGCAGGGCCAACCCUCAUGGCGUGUGUGUGAACACAUCCCUAAACCAUAGUCUGAUUUACCCUGUUUUUGUAGUUCACGUGAGCAGAAUCCAGCAUCUGUGUUCCUGCAUCUGGUGUUCACUCCACGUGUUUGGGGUGUGUGCAUAUCCGCUGUGUGUGGUGUGGACUUUACCCAUGUCCCAUGUGCAAACGCCACCCCACCCAGAGGCCACGCCAGGACCCAGGCCUGUGGGCAGUGGUUCCGUUUGCUCUUGCAAGGACACUGUGUCCUCCUGCGUGAGAGUCCCUGCUUCGGGUCUAAUCCUGGGAGUGGAAGGCAGGUCGUGGGUGUGGCUGAUACCCACCAAGAGGCUGCACACCCGGAGCCAGAGGGCCUGGCUGCACAGCUCCCUCGCACUGGGCUGGGCACUUGGUCACCGGCAGUUUGGGGAAUGUGUUCUCAUGGUGGUUUCAGGUGUGAGUCUGAGCAUCAACCCCGUGUCCACUGGAUGCUGGAGCUCUUCCCUCUCUGGCGCUGUUUCUCAUCAGGGUGCCCCACCGGCCUACUGCACGCUGCGCCUCUCCUGACCUGUAGGAGUCCUCUGUGCCUCUGGCUGCUCACCUUUGUUGGUUUAAUGUUUUGCAAAUGUCUUCCUCCGUUUUGUGGUUUGCUUUUUCAUUCUUCUAGUGGAACAUGUUGCUUUACAGAAGCAUCUACUUUCAACAGUCUUGUUUAAGACGGUGUCAGCACUGGUCCCAGUUCAGGCCUGGUCCCUGAACUCAGGUAUGUUUUGCAAACUCUAGAAGAGAGAGACAAGGGAGGAAGGACAGGUAGCGGCAGAGUGUGUGGAAAUGUUUUCCAGGCAGGAUGGCUUUCAUUCAAGUGACAGCAUCAUUUGAGAGACAGCAGUGGUAGGUGGUGUAAUGGAUUCUGACGUGGUGGGGGUAGGGGGCACGGCCAGGCUCCGAUUCCUCCUGCUGGGCCCAAGGACUGAGGACUGUGACGGGAGUGCAGUCCCUCCUGUGUCCUGCCAGAGGCCAGAGACUUGGGUCCACCACUCCACCGGGAUGUGUCUUCAGGAACUUCUUCAGGAGGUACUGGGGUGCCGGGAAUGUCUGAAAGGCAUUUCUGGACGCCUGCUGUGGCCUCAUACAGGAGAGUAGGCGACCUGGCCAAAGUCGGCACACAAGACGAGAUAAAGCAUCCAGGGACGCGGGGUCACAGCCCUCACUCCACUGCAGGGGUGGGGAUGAGAGAGGCCAGAGGGGAUCAGACAGGGCCAGCUUUGAUGGUUCUGAGAUGCAGUUUCUGAGGGGCCUCCUCCCAUUCCUGGCCUCUGCAGAGGGGUGGUUGUGUGGAGGGAAGGUGGGUCUGCCCUGGUCGAACAGCACAGGCAUUGCCUGUUAGUCUCAUUCCAUUCCGAGUGCCCCCAGGGAGAGUCAGCCACCUUCUGCAGAGAGGCAAGGCCAGAAGGCAGGGGCCUCCCCUCUGGUGACCACCAGGGCCUGUGGUACAAGCAGUGCCGGCUGCUGUCCUCUCUGGCCCUUGUCUCCUUCCAGCCUCUCCGCUAUUAGCAGAGCGGCAGAAGUUCAUAGUAGACCACUUGACAGGUAGACACAGGCCACCCCCAACCCCUGGCCCUGGAGGAGGCUCCCCAGUGGCCUCCUGGAGCCAGGAGAGAUGGAACUGAGCUGUAUCUGCUGCUCC